AGUGAACGCUGGCGGUAGGCCUAACACAUGCAAGUCGAACGGCAGCACAGUAAGAGCUUGCUCUUACGGGUGGCGAGUGGCGGACGGGUGAGGAAUACAUCGGGAUCUACUUUUUCGUGGGGGAUAACGUAGGGAAACUUACGCUGAUACCGCAUACGACCUACGGGUGAAAGCAGGGGAUCUUCGGACCUUGCGCGAUUGAAUGAGCCGAUGUCGGAUUAGCUAGUUGGCGGGGUAAAGGCCCACCAAGGCGACGAUCCGUAGCUGGUCUGAGAGGAUGAUCAGCCACACUGGAACUGAGACACGGUCCAGACUCCUACGGGAGGCAGCAGUGGGGAAUAUUGGACAAUGGGCGCAAGCCUGAUCCAGCCAUACCGCGUGGGUGAAGAAGGCCUUCGGGUUGUAAAGCCCUUUUGUUGGGAAAGAAAAGCAGCAGGUUAAUACCCCGCUGUUCUGACGGUACCCAAAGAAUAAGCACCGGCUAACUUCGUG
rnacentral:rRNA from 1 species